rnacentral:rRNA from 1 species
GAUGAACGCUGGCGGCGUGCUUAACACAUGCAAGUCGAGCGAAGCACUUAAGAUUGAUUCUUCGGAUGACGUCUUUUGUGACUUAGUGGCGGACGGGUGAGUAACGCGUGGGUAACCUGCCUCACACAGGGGGAUAACAGUUAGAAAUGACUGCUAAUACCGCAUAACCCGAUAGGAUCGCAUGAUCCAGACGGAAAAGAUUUAUCGGUGUGAGAUGGACCCGCGUCUGAUUAGCUAGUUGGUGAGGUAACGGCCCACCAAGGCGACGAUCAGUAGCCGGCCUGAGAGGGUGAACGGCCACAUUGGGACUGAGACACGGCCCAAAAUCCUACGGGAGGCAGCAGUGGGGAAUAUUGCACAAUGGGGGAAACCCUGAUGCAGCGACGCCGCGUGAGUGAAGAAGUAUUUCGGUAUGUAAAGCUCUAUCAGCAGGGAAGAAAAUGACGGUACCUGACUAAGAAGCCCCGGCUAACUACGUG